rnacentral:lncRNA from 1 species
AAUUGGCUGAAAUUUCAAAAAACGCUUCCGAAUGGGGAUACUGACAAAUGGAGGCAACAAGCAGAGGCACACAGACAGACACAGGACUACCAAGUAAAUAGCCUGGACUGAGUCCUAUCAAGAUUUGUCACUUUUCCUCUACUAGAGUCUGUUAUGUCUGAACUACAACAACGAAAAGUCUUCUCUCUCUGGUCUCUUAGUGAGAGGAGCUCUGCUAUAGGAGUACAGCUACACGAGGAGUGCCAGCAAGAAGUCAUGAUCAUCACUGAAGAGAGAGGAAUGGGGACAGAGACAAGAGGCAGGGACCCAGAACGAAUGGAGGGACUGGCU